AGCGGUUCGGCCGGGAACUCUAAGGAAACUGCCGGUGAUAAACCGGAGGAAGGUGAGGAUGAUGUCAAGUCAUCAUGGCCCUUACGGGUAGGGCUACACACGUGCUACAAUGGGCAGUACAAAGGGUUGCUAAACCGCGAGGUAAAGCUAAUCCCAAAAAACUGUUCGUAGUCCGGAUUGGAGUCUGCAACUCGACUCCAUGAAGCUGGAAUCGCUAGUAAUCGCGAAUCAGAAUGUCGCGGUGAAUACGUUCUCGGGCCUUGUACACACCGCCCGUCACACC
rnacentral:rRNA from 1 species